AUUGAACGCUGGCGGCAGGCCUAACACAUGCAAGUCGAGCGCGCGGCGGACGGGGGAGAGAUGUCUGGGAAAAUGCCUGAUAGGGGGGGGUAACACAUGGAGACGGUAGAUAAAACCGCAUACCACAUGAGGUGCCCAGAUGGGAUUAGAUAGGAGGUGGGGUAAAGGCUCACCCAGGCGACGAUCCCUAGCUGGUCUGAGAGGAUGACCAGCCACACUGGAACUGAGACACGGUCCAGACUCCUACGGGAGGCAGCAGUGGGGAAUAUUGCACAAUGGGCGCAAGCCUGAUGCAGCCAUGCCGCGUGUGUGAAGAAGGCCUUCGGGUUGUAAAGCACUUUCAGCGGGGAGGCGUUACCCGCAGAAGAAGCACCGGCUAACUCCGUGCCAGCAGCCGCGGUAAUUC
rnacentral:rRNA from 1 species